ensembl:lncRNA
AGAGAGAGAGUGGGGACAAUACGUGUUUAUUAUUACCUGUUCUCUGCAGUGGAAGAGGAAGUUAAAUGGACUCAUAAACGGGAUAAUUACUUAUUUUGGGCCACAGAGGAAAUAGUUUUUGAGAUGGAUAAACCCACUCAUUACGAGUCUGGUUUUAUGUGGUUUAAAAUAUUCAUCCCAUAGUAUCCCAUUAGGCACAUUACCACGGACCGGAGACAACAUACUUGAACCAAUCUAUAGAUAGCUAUAUUGCUUUGUCUUAAAACCAAAACACUCUAUAUACCAGAAUAGCAUGCUACAAAUAUGCUAAGCGUAUACUAUUCUAUGCAUAUACUUGCAGGCAAAACCAUCCAACCCCCCGCUAUGUAUUCCAUUAUUCAUGUGAUUGAUUGACACACAAUGAAAUGUGACUCAAGUCAAUACAGAUGCAGGGAAGGCAAGGCGUCUUGCCGUAGGAUACACUGCUACAUCUAGGAUCAAACCAAAAACUUUGGCUUUGCAGUGGAACCACUGACUGUAUUGAGGACCCUAGCCUGCAAGGAUAUCAUGCCAUCCUUCAUGAACCAAUUCCUUUCUUCCAUCAUUGAAAUGGAUGGAAAAGGGAUACAAGACACAUCUGCUAUCCCUUUAUCUCCCAAUCCUCCCAAUCAAGGGGAUCUGAAAUUGAUUGAAAUGGCUUGCAAGCUCUUGAACCGAGCUCUCUGUGAACACUGAUUUCGGUCUUUCGGGGUGGCGAGCCAUUCAAGCGUGUGAAAUAUAUGUUGAGUGAAAAGCUUAUUAGAGGUUAUACUAAUAUGCUAAUACUAAUAAGUUCACAGACCAGUAAAUAUCUAUUUGGCUCGAUGUAUGGGGCGUAGAGCAAUAAAAUACCAUUUUCCACAUUAUGAAUUAGACAAGACCUUUUCCAUUUUGCGGAGCAAUGAUGGAGCCAAUUACUGGUAAACUAUUUGGAUAUAUGUAUAGGUCAUCUGGAAAUAACCAGGGGAGUACUUUUCAGCAUAUCAUAUCCUGGCUAACAUAACCUUUACCUACAGCUCGGAAAUGGAGAGAUAUCCCCAGAUACAACACACAGAAUGCCGGGGUUCAGAUGUGAGCUAUAGGUAUAUAUGUGUACGUUCAGGCGGAGACGGAACAGCGAGCAUGUCUCUCUCCCGCCUCCACCUCCUACAUCUACGGCAUGUCAUCGUGAUUCACCUUGUUUCUCCUUCCUUUCUCUCCCUCUCCUCAUAGCCGCUCCUCAUGAAGCUACACCCUCAUCCAGUCCCAUUGAGACAUUCACAGCUCUAUAUCACUGCCGUCAUCCACAUUCAUGCACACACACACACACACACACACACACAUGCCCGCACGUGCACGCACAGUACACCCACACACAAUGCAUGUGAGCCCAACUUCGUGACAGGAGUUCUUCCGUCAGCCAGUAGGUGGCAAUAUCUGCACAAUCCUCAUUCUGCACAAGGCGCUUGCAGACAGUUGGUAAAAUGAAUACAAAAGGCAUAUUCGGGGUGCCAAUUUGCAUGCUAAAUGCUGGCGAAGGAACAUUUUGUAAAUGCAGGAAUGUGGGUAAUGCUGCAGUUAAGCCCAACUUUAUCCCUGGGAGCCCGGACUAACGCGAUUCUGCCUCCAGUGCGUGUCGAUCUCCCUUCGCUUAUUCCCGCCAUCUAUGUCCUUCUUCAGCUCCCCCCCCACCUGCCCACACCAACCCCCUUAUUGCCCCCUACGUCUCCCCUCCUUUUCUUUCUCUCUCUCCGACCUCUCCUGCGUUUGGCUCCUUUCGCCGCGUCUCAAAUCUGUCUUCCUUCCUCCUUCUGUCCCUCUCGCCUCUGCCGUCCCAUUCUCUCCCUCUCCCUCUCUCUCUCUUGCCUUCUACUUACACUCGACGAGAUCUUUUCACCUCCGGUAGACCAAAUGCUCCAUGGUUUUUUCCUCCUCUGUCGUGAUUGAAGGGGAGGGAAGCGACGGCGUGGCAUGGAAGUGCGGGGAAGACGAUAGAGAAGGAGACAGAAUAGAAAAAGAAAAUAAAGAAAAGGGGAGGGAAAAAGAGAGGGAAUGGGGUGUGGGGUUUGUAGGGGGUCGGUGGAAACAGGCACUGACAAAGUCCAGCCCAAAAACAUUAGCGUCGGUCCACACACACACCUCUCAAGGUGGACCGGGGCAGUUGUUGCUCUGUGCUUACACACUGCUCCCCUUUGGUCUUGUUUAGUUUUUCUCUCACUCACACACACACACACACACACACACACACACACACACACACACACACACACACACACACACACACACACACACACACACACACACACCUAUUCGCAAACAACCCUCUUCAGCACAGUUUAUAAAAGAAACGAGAAGAAAGAGUUCAUUAACCUAGGGUCAACAAUAUUGAGUGCACAUUGAAUACGGUAGCUGUUCUGCGUUCAGAUGUCGAGUAACAUUCAUAUAUUCCAUCGUGCUAGUGUUGAGAGUACCAUACAGAGGCUGUAACAUCGAAGCCCUUUUGUCUCUUCUUGUAUGACCACAAUUCCAAGUGAAUGGAAAUGUUCAACCGGCCAACGAUCAUGUUCACGCAGAGUCAUUUUUCAUUGCCUGGUUUUCCCCCCAUUAACAGCUUCAGUCAAAACAUAUGCAUUGCACAGCACUUAAUGCUUUACACUACAUGUUUUGACAGUCUCUUCAUUAGCAUCUUGACCAAAGCCAUUCAACCGUUAGGAUAUUCACAUUAUUCCCAGUCGAAAGAUAAUCCCCUUCCCAUUCGGCAGCCAACAUAUCCUCAUCCUCAUCAUCAUCAUCGCCAACGACAUCAUCAGCUUGCAGCAGCUAAAGAAAAUAAAUCAUCCAUGGGGAAAUGUAUGGGUGAGUGGCCUAUGAUCUUCAGCCUCUCUGAAGGCUUUGUUGCCUUCGGGCAGCUAGAGCGCUGGUUCAAAUGAGUGCCCCGCUUUCUGUAGUGAAGCCACUCUUCCAAAACAGCCCCCCCCCCCCCUCACCAUAGAACGGUCAACGGACGAUGAUAAGUCUGGACGACAAGGGUUAGUGUGGUGACACAUGAGCUUUUGCAUGAGGGGAGGAUAGGGGGUGUUUAGGGGUAGGUGGGUGUUAACUUGUUUUACCUUUGUUGACUUGGAUGCCCAUGGUAUUGGUGAUUGUCUGGCUACAUUCAGACUGGGGUGGUGGUGGUGGUGGUGGUGGUGGUGGUGAGAAGCAUGCAUGACAGCCAGCCGACAAGAUAAAACAAAUAAACAAAAAAAACAAAUAAAGAAACAGAAGAUGCAAAUAAAAUCAAACAAAACAACAAAUAGUUUGAAAGGACGAAAAAGUUAUCCACGUGAUGGACAGACAUUGAGUGAUCGCGUCCCACACAAACAAAACUGGAGAAACAGAAACCAAUGAAUAGACAAACACAUUUCACAAAACUGCAAUAUUGAACUUAUAAAGCGAAGCAGACAUGAAAUCAGAAGCAGAUUGAGUGGAUACCAGAUAAUGAAUACAGCUUUUUUUUUUAUGAAAUGUUUUGUACUUAAACUUUGUUUAGAUUUUGCACUCGUUUCCUUCCGUUCUCUCUCUCCCUCUCUCGUCUUUUAGAUGAUAUUUCAUACCUUUCAGUGAAAAUGUCCAACCAACGAUGAUACACAGCAAGCAUGUCUGUCUUGGCACUCUAGAAUAUUCUAGAGAAAAAACAGUAGGAGUUGGUUGCCUUGCCUUGCCUAAUUGGGCAUAACGGUCUUUAGCAUAAAUUACUCCUUGGAUUGUUGGGGUGCAAAAAAAGUGCCGCAUAAAUUAAGUCCCUUCAAAGACUGAAAUCGAGAGAAUAUAGGGUAAAUAAAUUCAAUUAGGGCAACACAUUGCGAGCAAACAAGCAAUCAAGACUCAAAUCAGCAGCGGCCAUUCGAUGGCGCUGCACGGUCCGGUUCACAAGGCCCAUCACAUCGUCCCGGAACAUUCCGGAUGGCGCCUCUGACUUUUUCACCCUCGCCCUAAUUGGCCUGAGGCCGGCAAAUGAGCUAAAUUAGCAAUGUGCCUCCCGCACACAGGAAGCUAGCCUUAGCCUUGUUCAGCCACACCGCGGCUAACGGUCUGCUCGUUAGGAGCCGCUAAUAGAAGCGGGCGGAAGUAGCCCAAGCGAGCGGUGUGCUGCUGCACAAGCCUUUGGUAUUCAUGGGUCAUUUUGGGAGUAAAAGAGGACGACGAAAAACAGUCGAUGGGUUUUAAACUCAACCCCGCUCGGGUCCCGAGGUGGAGAGGAGGGGGCGAGAGGUGGGGGGGGAGACAGGGAUUUGAAAAUAAUUAAAAACAAGAUAAUGGGAGAAAUUAAUUAGCUGAUUAAUUCAACGCCUCCAAAACGGAACUGGUAAAUGCGUUGUGAGUGAGAAACCGCACGGCGUCAGGACGAAUAGAGGGGAAGAGGAAGUGACACGGGAGUGGGUGUGGAUAAAGAGGUUGUUUUAUUGCGUCCGUUUGAAACCGAAACCUCUUAGCUUAAUGCCAGACAAUUGAUUACUAUACCUGGGGGGGGUGUAACUGUGGAGAAAUCACUGGGCUCAACCAGAAUCAAUGAGCAAUCGGCCUUUGCCAUUUAAAAUGAUAUCUAUCCAUUUCAUACAAGGCACCAUCAAAUCAUGCCUGGGUAAAAAUAUCCCUUCAGUGCCUUUAGAGCUUUGACUGAAUUCAAUAACACUCACUAAUCUUAGCUGUGACUGCAUAAAGAGGGCACCUUCAGUAUCACCUGUCUUUUAUGGUUGAGACAUAAUGGAGAGAAAGAGAGUAAUCUUGGACUAUCUCCGCCUAGAGAGAGAGAGAGAGAGAGAGAGAGAGAGCUUGAUAGACUCCGGAUUUCAUCACAGGAUUCACACACAUGUGCCCCCUGCUGCUAUUUGGGUUGAAUUGGAAAAUAUCGCUCCUGUAAUGGAGAUGGCGCCGCGUCUGCAUCCGUUCCCCGGCUACGGCGCGGCACAAAAUCACGGCCUAACUAGCGCACUUAUUUCCUUUGUCUUUUUCCCGCCAUCACGCUACGUCGUGUGCGAUUCCCCCGCUAUCUUUCAACAGAGGAGAGCAGCGCACGCCUCAUUUAAUCAGAACAGUCGACAACGACUGCGCCCGUGGAUGGGGAAAAAAUACACGCCGUUUCAGAACUGAGAAAUGAAUCAGCCGGGCUAUUAUGCAUGGGCAUCCUAUGGAAUGUGUAGAAGGGGUGGCUGGGUGUGCUGGUGGGUUUGCAACCUUCAGACUCUGCGGGAAGGCGCGAGUGAACAGAGGAAAAGGGAAAGCGGGUAUUCAACCUUUAGCGUUAGUGCGCAGACAGCGGCCGCUUGUACAUAGUCGGUCAGCCACCUGCCUGCUGCCUGGAACAUAACCAUCAGCACCCACUGACUUUUGCCUUGGAAAAUGCCUCCAUUACAGCGCAAGUGGAAUGGAAAUAAUGCCAUUUUCCUGCAGUUUUUGCUACAGCGCUGGGUUUCGGCUUUCGGGGUUGACACCUCAUCAUCCCUCAGAAUGCUAACUGCCGCUGCACCCUCAGGUGGGCCAGUGUGAAGGCUAUACAAUGGAGAAAUUAGCAGCAGUGGCUAACUUCCUGAAUGACCAACACACGGGGAAGGUUGGCGGCAGUGUGGAAGGCCGUGCGGUAAAAGCUAAUUGAAAUAUCGUAGGAGCGUGGAUGAAGAAAAACAGGUGAUUUGGUUUUGGGAGACGAGCGUGAGAGAGAACUUCAGUUUGGUGCUUUUUAUCUGUUUAGACACGUGCUGCGUGGGGUUGAUGCCAAAGGACAAUCCCAAAUCCACCGCAAUUAUCGGAGAGAAAUGAUAUAAUAUUAGCACGUGUGGGUAUGGUUUCUUUGUGUUUUUGGAGACAUGCUCUGAUAUCCACUCAUCCCCUCAAGGGUCGCCACGAUUAUCCUACCUUUCCGGCGAAGAGAAACGGAUCACUUCUUUGCUGAUCUUAUAAUCCUUUGAAAUCGCUCUAGAGUGGUUAUUGACCAAUUAGAGCCUCUCAUGAAAAGCUCCUGUGAGUGCGCAGUGGCUGGUCUCAUUUUGUGCUAUGUUUUAAUGAGCUUGUUAAUCAUUUAUCAGGUGAUUAUAAAGCUGUUUAGGUCAAUGACGUUUUAAUGACUUGGUUCAUUUUAUGAUUUUCUUUGUUGCGGUUAUUUUGAUUGAGGCAUCGCAAACAAUAACCAAAAAUGUCAUGAUUUGUCUAAAAGGUGAAACCGGUGCAAAAGAUUAAAGAAGCGAGACAAUGCAAAACGGAGUUUAGCUAAAUGCAUAUUUAGAUUUGACCACGGCACAUAAACCCAGCCUGACACAACAAUCCAUAAAAGAGGAAUUGUAAAUGUAAAUGUGAAGAAAAUAGCACUCCCAUUACUUCACAUUUGAAUUGUGUGGUGAGUUGACUAUAGGCACACCUUGAUAGUUGAAAUAAGGGGUGCUGUGUAUUGGAUUGUCUGUUACACCACAAUGCCACUAGGGGGGACUAAUAUUAGACUCUCAAAUACAGUCACGACACAAUGGGGUGAUGAAUCACACACUACUGGCUUUGGGCUGAUGAGCGACUACAUUGAAUAUUGUGAUAAUUUGACACUGUCAGUGGGUUUUUAAAUGAAUAAAAUAAAAUACACAAAACAACACCACAGGCUAAUGGUAGCUUUUGCUAGGUGUCGAAAAACAACAAACAAAAGGUCCACAGACACAGUGGCAAAUUAUUAUCCAAUCUAGAAGCACGUCUUUAAAGGGUAGUUAAUAUGACUCCCGGGAACGUUAUUUAGACAGGGUUUAGGCAUGCUUACGUUGGCUUUCUUUGUAAACAACCGACAUUCUGCUGGUUAGCGAUGGCUCGGAGCUUUGUCUUGGCGGCGGGGGAGGGGGGACCUGUGGCAGUUCGUUAGACUUGGUUAGAGGGGGUUACGGGUUCAAUUCUGUUUAGCCACUCUCAGAGUGGACCGCCUCGCACGAGUCUUAAUGGUACUAGUGUUUUAGUUUUUUAGCAUGUUUUAUGUUCUGUUAAGUAAGGGAUUAAAGAGAUGAGUGAGACAAGAAGGGUUUUUUGAUAGUAUUAUCAUGAGUAGAGGACAAUGUGCCGGACGACCCUUUAUUAGCUGAGUGACUCACCCAGACUCUACUGAACUUUCAUUGUCUCUUUCCCAAUGAAGUAACAAUCACAAUGUUUACCACUGGAACGUAAUGCAUAUGUGGCUGCAAAGUAAAAAGAUUUCCAGUUCAAUUUCUGUCCCAUGCCUGAGAAGGGAGUAUAUCUUGGUUAGUAUGUGUAAUUUCCAAAACUUAUUAAGAAUUUCCGAGGCCUACUUAGUCGUUUUGAUUUCUAAUUCAGCAUCAUGUACAGACAGUGUAAAACAAGCAUUGCCCAACACAAAUAAUACAGACUCAGACGAGAGUAGGGAUGAGGGGGUGGAUGAAAAGCUACACGCACACACACACACACACAGACUAUUGAUGUGCAUACACACACACACACACACAGUUAUAGAUGCCUAUACACACACACAAACAUAAACACAUACAUACAUUUUAGAUUGUGCAGACACAGUCACACACACGUACACACGUACACACAACCACACACACACACACACACAGUCUCUCCUCAUCUGCAUAAUUGCAGUAUAGUCAGCAUCUCUGGCUACCCAGCCAUCACCCCAGUGUCUAGGGCGAUUGUCAAAGUGAGAUGUUAACAGCAUUUGAGUUGAACUGCAGCUGGAUCCAGUCAAAGGGUUGACUCUAAUAGUGUUAUCAUUGUAAUUGCUCCUUAUUAAGUGCAAAGACUCCUUUACUUGCAUCAUACUAUGCCACAGUACUAUAGCAGUAUACCAUCAUUCCACCCAUUUGGUUCGAUACAAUAUCUAAUAUACUCUCCAUCCUUCAGUUCCCUUGUGUAUUUGAGUCGAUGUACAGUAUAUGUAGGGGUAAUUUGGACGUGGGAAUAGUGAAUGUGUUUCUGUGUAUGUGUGUGUGAGUGAGUCAGUGAGUGAGGGUGGGUGUGAGCGAGUGACUACUGCAUCUGAUUGUGCGACAGCAAUGCAUUGGAAGGAAGCCAAUGUCCCUGAAAAAAUCGUGAUCAAAGAAUGAGGGAAGGCACUCGGAACUGACCAAAUAUGGUUUGUGUGUGUGAGUGAGUGUGUGUGUUUGUCUCUCCUCUGCAUUUAUUGUAAAUAAGACGCGAACAAGUGUGGCCAAUCAAUGUCAGGGCAUAGCCUACCCAUCACAGGACAGUGAUGGGUGUGUGGGGUAGCCUGGUCGUGUGCGCGCACCAACGCUAGUGUGCGUGGGCAGGUGAUCGUUUGCAGUGUGAGUGCGUGGUGUACCUCUUAAGGAAAUCAGCACUCUGAAGGUCAACAGAGAGCAGAGAGGGACUCUUGUGUCCCCGGAUAAUGAUGAAAUGAGGGAAUAAUGAUUCAAAGACACUGCUGCACUGCACACACGCACACACACACACACACACACACGCACCUAGUUCUAUACACACAAACCAAGGUAGAGAUGUAACACAAACCUACAGACACACACACACACAAACACACAGACACGCACACACCUACCUACAACCACACAAAUACAAUACGUUAACGCCAGAGGACAAGGGGCCGACUGGACAGACACAGACAGGAAUAACACGGAGGUUUAAUAACCCAGCAUCCACCCAUGGGAAAACAAAUCAAGUAAGUGCUGAAUUAGGGUGAAGUAAUUUGGCGAAUGAGGGUGGGGAAUGUGGGGCAAGCAGUCUCUCAAAUUGCAGGAUUUAGAAUUCAUUAACUGUCCGUGAUGGAUUAGCCGUCAAGUGACAGCUCUGUUGACUAAAUGUGCUCGACAGGGUAAUAAUAAAGAGCCGUGUCAUGGAAAUCUAACUUUCCCUCCAUUCAUCACGUGUAGAAAGUAAAGGAUUAAAGGGAAGUGGAGGGGAGCAGGGUUAAUAACGGAAGGUUACGGUGAAUACGGUAAGGUCCACCUUCAUGUGUUUGUUCGUAAUGGUCAAUAACACAAUAGCAUUUAAAAUGUAAAUUAUGAAAAAGUAUAAAAAAUAAUGGGGCACAAUGACAAAGCUCUUUCUGUUAGGGCAGACGAUUGUGCAAAGUAAAGGCUCUAGUAAUUGUAUGCUCUUCCUCAGUGUUGAUAUACCCAAUAAAAACAAGCAAAAGCAAAGAAGAUGUGCUUCCCAUUCUUCCGUUCCUGUCCACGAGCACAUUAAUUCACCGCUCCGUUCCCCGGAAUCUCUCUCAACAAUUAAUUUGGGUCUCGUCGAUUUUUUAUGUUUCCCCUCCUGCUUAAACAUCUGCGCUUAGCAUCGGGUGAGCCAGAGGAGGCGAAUAAACCCAUGGGCAUGUACGGUAUAUCAGUAUCCUCCUCAUGCCCAAAUCAGCCUCGCAGUUCACUUCGCUUUACGCAGAUGUUUGAGAAAAAAACGUCUGAAAAAAAAAAAGAUAAUUUAAAUGAAUUUCCUAGAGGGGAUCCGGCAGCCACUGGAGGUUUCCGUGCCUCGUCUUUCUGACAUUGUUCUGAGACAACAAAGGAAGGCGAAGCCAUGGAGAAUAAAAAGAGGGGAGGGGGGGGGGGACGCGGCAACACGGCAACCACAUACGCUGCAUGCUCGGCAGACGAUGGAUCAUGAGCCGCUGGGAUAAAACACAGCAUCGCUCUCAGACGGUUUUAUUCGGGAUGUCAGCAGUAAGUGAAACAGAGAAAUAUGCCAGCCUUGGACUUUAUUUGGGAACUGGGGCGGCGGGGAAAAGGGCCAUAUUAAAAAAGGGAAUGCUUAAAAGAAGGAAGAAAAAAAAAGGUAUCACGUUAGCGAAUAAACGGGGGAAGCUGGAAGCUUCGAUUUACGUCCGACAUAUAAGUCCAAAGGGUAAAAUCAAUAACGUAUAACGGAGGGGCUGGGAUACAUUCAGCGAGUGACGACUCUGUCUCGUAAAGAAAGGGAAUCUCAUUGGUUGACUGUUCCUCGAGCACCACAAAGACAGGGCUUACGGCAUAGUGUGCUGCGGUAUUGGGUUUAAGGAUGUGAGUGUGUGUGCCUCGAUGUGACAGCUAUAGCUCUCUCAGAGGGGCAGUGGAUGGGGCAACGUGCAAAGGUGGG